CUCCAGGACACUCCAGCCUGUUGUACAGGCCAAAGAAAAGCCCUCAGGCAGAGAAGCAAGUACUUGCAAGAGGACACCAGUGGCAAGAACAGGGACAUGCCACCCUGUGAAGACGUGCCUUUCGUCAAGAUUGUAAGUUUCUUGAGGCCUUCCCACCCAUGCGGAACUGUGAGUCAAUUAAACCUCUUUAUAAAUUA